rnacentral:rRNA from 1 species
UACACGCUGUGACUAGCAUAUCAAUAAGCGGAGGAAAAGAAACUAACAAGGAUUCCCCUAGUAACGGCGAGUGAAGCGGGAAGAGCUCAAAUUUGAAAUCUUAAAGGGUUUCCCUUUACGAAUUGUAGUUUAAAGAAGUGUUUUCUGUUGAGGUUUUGGUAAAAGUUCUUUGGAAUAGGACAUCAUAGAGGGUGAGAAUCCCGUAUUUGACCUUUACUUUCAACUUUGUGAUACACUUUCAAAGAGUCGGAUUGUUUGGGAAUGCAGUCCAAAAUGGGUGGUAAAUUUCAUCUAAAGCUAAAUAUUGGCGAGAGACCGAUAGCGAACAAGUACCGUGAGGGAAAGAUGAAAAGAACUUUGAAAAGAGAGUUAAACAGUACGUGAAAUUGUCAAAAGGGAAGCGUUUGACACCAGUGUUGUUUUUCUGAAAAUCAAUUAAAGAACUGUUUAUGCUAAGUUGUUUAGACUUUAUCAGCUAUCUGUUUAGUUUUGAGCUUUUCUUUAAUGCACUUUUCAGUUAACAAGUCAACAUCAAUUUCUUUUGCUGUAAAAAAGCUUGAGGAAGGUGGCUUGAGAUUCGUCUUAAGUGUUUAUAGCCUCUUGCCUAUGCAGUCGGAGAGAUUGAGGUCUGCAGCGUAGAUCCUUCGGGGCUAAAUACAUUUGUGCUAAGUUAUAACAUUUUAUAGACAACUUGUUGACUAUGAUUUGUCUCGUAGCUUACUCGCUUAUGUUAUUUUACCUACGCUUAGGAUGUUGACGAGACUGUCGAUCUC